GAGUUUGAUCCUGGCUCAGGACGAACGCUGGCGGCGUGCUUAACACAUGCAAGUCGAACGGAAAGGCCCCUUCGGGGGUACUCGAGUGGCGAACGGGUGAGUAACACGUGGGUGAUCUGCCCUGCACUUUGGGAUAAGCCUGGGAAACUGGGUCUAAUACCGAAUAGGACCGCAUGCUUCAUGGUGUGUGGUGGAAAGCUUUUGCGGUGUGGGAUGGGCCCGCGGCCUAUCAGCUUGUUGGUGGGGUAAUGGCCUACCAAGGCGACGACGGGUAGCCGGCCUGAGAGGGUGUCCGGCCACACUGGGACUGAGAUACGGCCCAGACUCCUACGGGAGGCAGCAGUGGGGAAUAUUGCACAAUGGGCGCAAGCCUGAUGCAGCGACGCCGCGUGGGGGAUGACGGCCUUCGGGUUGUAAACCUCUUUCAGUAUCGGCGAAGCUCCAGGAUUUUUCUUGGGGUGACGGUAGGUACAGAAGAAGCACCGGCCAACUACGUGCCAGCAGCCGCGGUAA
rnacentral:rRNA from 1 species